UCAGGUGUGCCAGCCGCCGCGGUAAUACGGAGGAUGCGAGCGUUAUCCGGAUUUAUUGGUUUAAGGGUGCGUAGUGGUUAAUUAAGUCAGCGGUGAAAGUUUGUGGCUCAACCAUAAAAUUGCCGUUGAAACUGGUUGACUUGAGUAUAUUUGAGGUAGGCGGAAUGCGUGGUGUAGCGGUGAAAUGCAUAGAUAUCACGCAGAACUCCGAUUGCGAAGACAGCUUACUAAACUAUAACUGACACUGAAGCACGAAAGCGUGGGGAUCAAACAGG
rnacentral:rRNA from 1 species